rnacentral:lncRNA from 1 species
CUGUAACUUAUAUUCAAGACUUGGCUUUCGAAUGGCACCCACUUUCCCUUCCAAGCUUUCCCCACUGAAAAAGCCAUGUGGGAGGAUAUUUGGUCAAAUAAAGUGUUUGAAAGUAUUUGCUUUGAAAAUGUUCGGAAUGACCACUCAUGGAAUCUGAAUACCGAUGGAAGCGUACUUUCCCCCUUUAUUUCCUUCCUGAGUUUUGUCUGGAAUCGUUGCUCAUUUCUGCAAAGAAGGGAAGAAGAUUUUCAUUCUCAACAUUUCUGCCUGGUCAUACAGUGUUUGGUUUGGGGGUUGUGUUUUGUUUCUAUUAUUAUUAUUAUGGUGUAUAUUGUUUUCCUUGUUCUGCUUACUUCACUUUAUAUCAGUGCAAUAAGUCUUUCCAUGACACUGAUAUUUUCAUAUUCCUCAUUUCCGGUGGAACCUUCCAUUAUAUUCAUGUGCUGAACAGCAUUUGGACGUUUAAUGAAUGCUACAUCUCUUGCAAUUCUUUGUUAUUUUUAAGUGCUGCUGUGAAUAUUUUGAUAUGUACAUCACCUUUCUUUUUGUAUUUGACCUCCUUGAGGUACUGUGCCUGGCAGUGAAAUCUCUGGGUCAAAGGACAUGGACAUUUAGUCACUUUUUAAAAACAUGAUUACAAAUUUCUUUCCAGAUGGUUGGAUUAAUUCAUGAUCCCAUCAAUAGCACAUUAGUGUGCCAUUUUCCACACUCUUUCCAACACUUUUUUGGUGAUUUUUGCCAAAUUUUUGUGAUCUUUGUUGGUUUGAUGGGUAUAGAGUGGAAGCUCAGAGUUGAUUUGUUUUGGAUUUUCUCAAUGACUUUAAGCAAAUUUUCAUAUAGUUGUUAAUAGUUUUAGGUUUUUAAAAUUCUUUAUUUCAUUAGUCAUAAAUGCAUUGUAUUCAUUUUACCUACCUCUGAAGUACACUUCAGAACAUUCUGUGAAUUCAUAGUGAUUGUCUCCACUUCUUAACAAUGAUUGUUUUCCCUGGACGGGCACUUCAUAUUUGUGGUAAGUUCCUUCCUUCCUUCCUUCCUUCCUUCCUUCCUUCCUUCCUUCCUUCCUUCCUUCCUUCCUUCCUUCCUUCCUUCCUUCCUUCCUAACUUCCUUCCUUCCUUCCUUCCUUCCUUCCUUCCUUCCUUACAUCCUUCCUUCUUUCCUUCCUUCCUUCCUUCCUUCCUUCCUC